UCCAGCCCGGUUCCAGCCCGAUUCCAACCCAGCUCCGGCCCGGCUCCCGUUCUCCACCACGCCUCUCUGUCGACGCGACUGAGCAGCUUCGCAGGAAAAUCCCAGAAACCUUUGCAAAAAGCUUACAAUGAAAUUUAAGAAGUUCUACCAUUUCGGCGCCAUUUUCGAGUGGAGUGAGAGGUUGUUUAGUUUUUUCCAGUGUGAAACUCGACAUUGGAAAAGUUUGGCUCCAAGGGUGACCAUCGACUUUUUUUCUCCACUGUUCCAUGUCCAUGUAAAAGUGACUUGUAAUAUAGCCAAGAAAAGAUGGAAAUUUUUCGUUUCAACUUAAGGAGUGGGGCUGUUACUAUUAAUAGCUUUAUUUAUCAUGACCUAAGCAAUGCAUUUGUUAGCGCUGGAUCAUAAUCUGUUAUGUUAGGAAUUUUGUACUUAGUUUAACUACAGACUCUGUAUAUUAAUUAAUUAAUCAAUUAAUUAGCAUAAAUUAAAUUAGCAUUCACUGUACUAGUUUUGAAAAACUGACAUAAUUUUAAAUGCAAAUACAGGAAAUUUGGCGACAUUCAAUUUCUGUUUAUGUACACAGAAUGUAUUUUUACUUUCAAAGGCACUAUAGUUUUAUUGUUUUAGUUAUUAGGUCUGUGGUUAAGGACUAAAGAAUGUUUUUGUGCUUUCUUGAAUGCUUUGUUUAAAGAAGGAAAUGAAUCAAUGUAACUUGUUUCUCACAUGUGUCCAUUUUGAAAAGCAACAGUGGGAGCUAAGGAGUUAAUCACUAAGGAGCAUGCACAGUGCCGGCCAUUUCAAGACGUGCAGUUUUUGGUGGAGUUGCUUAAGAAGGAGUGAUUUGUAUCUAACAUCAAGGAUGUCAUUUACUUAAAGUUCUUGAUUUGUGAUUUGAUGUUGAUGAUGAUAAAUGUAAAUUUAUAUAUAAAUAAGCUUGAAUAGCCAGCAAUGUAUGAGAACAUCCAGGGGUUUCUCAGCUUUGUCCUUAAAAAUAACUAAAGACAAGAUGUUUACUGUAAGAAUGGAGGGAACUACUAGAACAAGUCUAUCCCAUGCCUAUAGUAUUAGUAAAACCAACUGGGACUACCCAGAGGGAUUUUUUUGAUUAUCGAAA